rnacentral:misc_RNA from 1 species
GAUGAAGAACGUAGCGAAAUGCGAUAGGUAAUGUGAAUUGCAGAAUUCAGUGAAUCAUCGAAUCUUUGAACGCACAUUGCGCCCCCUGGUAUUCCGGGGGGCAUGCCUGUUCGAGCGUCAUUUCACCACUCAAGCCUCGCUUGGUAUUGGGCAACGCGGUCCGCCGCGUGCCUCAAAUCGACCGGCUGGGUCUUCUGUCCCCUAAGCGUUGUGGAAACUAUUCGCUAAAGGGUGUUCGGGAGGCUACGCCGUAAAACAACCCCAUUUCUAAGGUUGACCUCGGAUCAGGUAGGGAUAGCCGCUGAACUUAAGCAUAUCAAUAAGCGGAGGA